UACGUAGGGGGCAAGCGUUAUCCGGAUUUACUGGGUGUAAAGGGAGCGUAGACGGCAGGGCAAGUCUGGAGUGAAAGGCAGGGGCCCAACCCCUGGACUGCUCUGGAAACUGUCCGGCUGGAGUGCAGGAGAGGUAAGUGGAAUUCCUGGUGUAGCGGUGAAAUGCGUAGAUAUUAGGAGGAACACCAGUGGCGAAGGCGGCUUACUGGACUGUAACUGACGUUGAGGCUCGAAAGCGUGGGGAGCAAACAGG
rnacentral:rRNA from 1 species